rnacentral:tRNA from 1 species
GUGGGUAUAGCUCAGUGGUAGAGCACAUGCUUAGCAAGCACAAGGUCUUGGGUUCAAUCCCCAGUACCUCCA